rnacentral:tRNA from 1 species
GCCUGGCUAGCUCAGUCAGUAGAGCAUGAGACUCUUGAACUCAGUAGCCUGAGUUCAAGCCCCACGUUGGGCA